rnacentral:rRNA from 1 species
AAUCAACGCUGGCGGCGUGCCUCAGACAUGCAAGUCGAACGAUUAAACUUUCCUUCGGGAAAGAUAUAAAGUGGCGCACGGGUGAGUAACACGUAGGUAAUGUGCCUUUGGGUGGGGAAUAACUUAGGGAAACUUAAGCUAAUACCGCAUAAUGCAGCGGCUCCUUCGGAGACAGUUGUUAAAGAUUAUCGCCUAAAGAGCAGCCUGCGGCGGAUUAGCUAGUUGGUAAGGUAACGGCUUACCAAGGCGACGAUCUGUAUCCGACCUGAGAGGGUGGUCGGACGACACUGACACUGAAUAACGGGUCAGACUCCUACGGGAGGC